AACGAACGCUGGCGGCAGGCCUAACACAUGCAAGUCGAGCGCCCCGCAAGGGGAGCGGCGGACGGGUGAGUAACGCGUGGGAAUAUGCCCUUUGCUACGGAAUAGUCUCGGGAAACUGGGGGUAAUACCGUAUACGCCCUUUGGGGGAAAGAUUUAUCGGCGAAGGAUUAGCCCGCGUUGGAUUAGGUAGUUGGUGGGGUAAUGGCCUACCAAGCCGACGAUCCAUAGCUGGUUUGAGAGGAUGAUCAGCCACACUGGGACUGAGACACGGCCCAGACUCCUACGGGAGGCAGCAGUGGGGAAUCUUAGACAAUGGGGGCAACCCUGAUCGAGCCAUGCCGCGUGAGUGAUGAAGGCCUUAGGGUUGUAAAGCUCUUUCAGCUGGGAAGAUAAUGACGGUACAAGCAGAAGAAGCCCCGGCUAACUCCGUG
rnacentral:rRNA from 1 species